GAUGAACGCUGGCGGCGUGCCUAAUACAUGCAAGUAGAACGCUGAAGCUUGGUGCUUGCACCGAGCGGAUGAGUUGCGAACGGGUGAGUAACGCGUAGGUAACCUGCCUCUUAGCGGGGGAUAACUAUUGGAAACGAUAGCUAAUACCGCAUAAAAGUCGAUAUCGCAUGAUAUUGAUUUGAAAGGUGCAAAUGCAUCACUAAGAGAUGGACCUGCGUUGUAUUAGCUAGUUGGUGAAGUAACGGCUCACCAAGGCGACGAUACAUAGCCGACCUGAGAGGGUGAUCGGCCACACUGGGACUGAGACACGGCCCAGACUCCUACGGGAGGCAGCAGUAGGGAAUCUUCGGCAAUGGGGGCAACCCUGACCGAGCAACGCCGCGUGAGUGAAGAAGGUUUUCGGAUCGUAAAGCUCUGUUGUAAGAGAAGAACGAGUGUGAGAGUGGAAAGUUCACACUGUGACGGUAACUUACCAGAAAGGGACGGCUAACUACGUG
rnacentral:rRNA from 1 species